GCUCCUCUGGUGAAACGGAGAUCAUGACGGACUACGAAUCCGUCGUUGGAGGUUCGAGUCCUCCGGGGAGCG
rnacentral:tRNA from 1 species